rnacentral:tRNA from 1 species
AUUUAAAUAACUUAUAUAAUAGAGUAUAACAUUGAAGAUGUUAAAGAGAUAAUUUUAUCUUUAAAUA